GGAGAGAUGCCAGAGUGGUCGAAUGGGCCUGACUCGAAAUCAGGUGUACUGCUUGCAGUACCGGGGGUUCGAAUCCCUUUCUCUCCG
rnacentral:tRNA from 1 species